UACAGAGGGUGCGAGCGUUGUCCGGAAUCACUGGGCGUAAAGGGCGCGUAGGCGGCGCGGUAAGCGUGCGGUGAAAGCCCGGGGCUCAACCCCGGGUCGGCCGGUGCGGACUGCCGGGCUGGAGCACUGUAGAGGCAGGUGGAAUUCCGGGUGUAGCGGUGGAAUGCGUAGAGAUCCGGAAGAACACCGGUGGCGAAGGCGGCCUGCUGGGCAGUAGCUGACGCUGAAGCGCGACAGCGUGGGGAGCAACAGGAUAGAAACCCGGUAGGUC
rnacentral:rRNA from 1 species